rnacentral:lncRNA from 1 species
UUAGUCCACCAGAGAGUUCCCACAGGAACCUCCUCAUAAGUCAUAUCGGCCUAUACCUAUACCUCAUCAUGAGGAAUAACAUGAGAAGGAUCAGGGUGGUAUUUCUUGAGCAUUAAGAUAUGAAAGACAUCAUGUAAACUCGCAAACUCCCAGGAUAGAGUGAGACGGUAAGCCACGGGUCCAAUGUGCUCGACGAUCAAAAAAGGUCCCAUAUAACG